AUCCAAUAGUCAAAGGUUAAUGAAAUACAAAUGGUAUAGAGGUAAAUAGUCCUAUAAUUCCUAUAAUAACUACAACCUAAAACUUAUUACCUGGGAAUAUUGAAGACUCAUGUUAAAAGGAACCACCAGCUUUCAUAUGUUCUCAUGUUCUGAGGAAGGAACUGAAACAUUAGCUUUCUUACAUAGCACAUAUUGCACUUUCACUUUCUUCUCCAACACUGUUUUUGCAUUAUUUAAACCAAAUUGAACAUGUUUCAUUAUUUACUUGAGGCUAAAUUGAUUUUAUUGAUGUAUUAUAUUAUGUUAAAAUAAGGGUUCAUUCAGUAUUGUUGUGAUUGUCAUUAUUACAAAUAAAAAUUCAAUAAAAAUUGGCCGAUUGAUCGGUAUCAGCUUUUUUGGGCCACCAAUAAUCGGUAUCGGCGUUGAAAAAUCAUAAUCGGUCGACCUCUAGUAUGUAUGUACAGUCACUGUGGGGAUGACGUCCUAGAUGCACUUAUUGAUAAAGCCAGUGACUGAUGUGGUGUGCUCCUCAAUGCUGACAGAUAGAUGGCAGCAUUUGCGCAAUACUGAAAUUGCAAACCUCCAACAUGUAAUUCAGGAAACAGCAGAAGGAGCACGGGGAUAAGGGAUUGGCUGUUGACCUGGGCACACACAGCUGUCGUCGCUGAACAUCCAGGUUGCUGAGGCACUAUUCCAGCAGGUCUUCCGGCAUUAUGCCCCCAAUCCACAUCACAGGUAUGGAGAGCCUUUAUGGAGAAGCUCGGGGUCACGGUCAGCCUCACUUCUGGGUAUAGGCCUCAGUCCAAAGGGCAGAUGGAGAGGAGGAACCAGGAGCUGGGGAGGUUCCUGAGGAGUCACUUCAGGACCGGCAGGGAGAGUGGGCUCGAUUCCUUCCAUGGGCGGAGUACGUUCAGAACAUCACUCCUCCACUGGGUUGACCCCCUUCCAGUGUGUUCUGGGUUUUCAGCCGGCCCUGGCUCCGUGGACCCCAGGCCAGAUUGAAGCUCCUGCGAUUGAUGAGUGGUUCAGGCAUGCAGAAGAAGUCUGGAGUGAUGCUCACGUGAGACUCCAGCGCACCAUCCACCGUCAAAAGGGGCUGGCAGACCGCCACCACAGUGCGACUCCCGUGUACCACCCUACCACACUUCAAUCAGUGCAGGGAAGGAGACUGGUUAAAGAAGGAUUUUUAAGCCAUGAGACAAUUGAGACAUUGACUGUGUAUGUAUGCCAUUCAGAGGUUGAAUUGGCAAGACCAAAGAUUGAAGUGCCUUUGAACGGGGUAUGAUAGUAGAUGCAGGACGGACUGGUUUUUGUCAAGAACUGCAACGCUGCUGGGGUUUUCAUGUUCAACAGUUUCCUGUGUGUAUCCAGAAUAGUUUACCACCCAUAGUACAUCCAGGCAACUUGACACAACUGUGGGAAUCAUUGGAGUCAACAUGGACCAGCAUCCCUGUGGAACGCUUUCGACAACUUACAGUCAAUACCCCAAACGAAUUGAGGCUGUUCUGAGGGCCAAAAGCGGUGGGUGGGAUGGGGGGAGUACCCUGGACAAUGCAAUUUAUUUUAUGCUGCAUGUGUAAACAUAAUCCCUAAAAACCAUGGUUGGAAUAAAGAAAGGUCUGAAUGUGACAGAUUGUUUCAACUAAUUGGUUGGCAUUUUUGAUUGUUCAGCAGUUUAGCUAGUGUCCUUUGCAGCUGCUCUGGAAAGUUAAACUUUUCUUCUGCAUUGAAAAACACACAUUGUUCAGAAAUCACAUCCAGGGCCGGUUCUAGGGGGGUGCUGGAUUGGGCUUUGCCCACCCUAAAUUGAAUUUUAUUUAAAUGUAAACCAUAAAGCAGACGAGCAAGAUGUUGGUAAAGAUAUUGUCCUUAAUGUGACACAUACUGUAUUUCAGUAUUUUACAACUUGAGGUUAGAUGGUUCCUUACCGUAAAAGUAGUCUAUGGGCCAUGAUUAGUUUUUUCUUAAAACAGCCAUUAAAAACUUCAGCCUCCUUUUGCCACUGUUAGCAAAACAUGCAAUGUAAAGUGCAAUGUAAAUAAACCAGUUUUUUUUACGUUUUCUUUUUCCCCCCAGGCAAAUAAUUUAAAGUGAAUGACAAUAUAAAUCAAUCGUAUUUAUGAAGCCCUUCUUACAUCAGCUGAUGUCACAAUGUGCUGUAAAGAAACCCAGUCUAAAACCCUAAACAGCAAGCAAUGCAGAUGUAGAAGCA